rnacentral:rRNA from 1 species
GGGUUGUGAGGUUAAGCGACUAAGCGUACACGGUGGAUGCCCUGGCAGUCAGAGGCGAUGAAGGGCGUGCUAAUCUGCGAUAAGCGCCGGUAAGGUGAUAUGAACCGUUAUAACCGGCGAUACCCGAAUGGGGAAACCCAGUGUGACUCGUCACACUAUCAUUAACUGAAUCCAUAGGUUAAUGAGGCGAACCGGGGGAACUGAAACAUCUAAGUACCCCGAGGAAAAGAAAUCAACCGAGAUUCCCCCAGUAGCGGCGAGCGAACGGGGAGGAGCCCAGAGCCUGAAUCAGCAUAUGUGUUAGUGGAAGCGUCUGGAAAGGCGCGCGAUACAGGGUGACAGCCCCGUACACAAAAGCGCAUGUGCUGUGAGCUCGAUGAGUAGGGCGGGACACGUGGUAUCCUGUCUGAAUAUGGGGGGACCAUCCUCCAAGGCUAAAUACUCCUGACUGACCGAUAGUGAACCAGUACCGUGAGGGAAAGGCGAAAAGAACCCCGGCGAGGGGAGUGAAAAAGAACCUGAAACCGUGUACGUACAAGCAGUGGGAGCACAGGUUUACC